CUACGGGUGGCACCAGUGAGGAAUAUUGCACAAUGGGGGGAACCCUGAUGCAGUAACGCCGCGUGGAGGAUGACGCAUUUCGGUGUGUAAACUCCUUUUAUAUGUCAAGAAAAUGACGGUAGCAUAUGAAUAAGCACCGGCUAACUCCGUGCCAGCAGCCGCGGUAAUACGGAGGGUGCGAGCGUUACUCGGAAUCACUGGGCGUAAAGGACGCGUAGGCGGGUUGGAAAGUCAGGUGUGAAAUCCUACAGCUUAACUGUAGAACUGCACUUGAAACUUCUAAUCUAGAGUAUGGGAGGGGGAGAUGGAAUUAGUGGUGUAGGGGUAAAAUCCGUAGAUAUCACUAGGAAUACCUAAAGCGAAGGCGAUCUCCUGGAACAUUACUGACGCUAAGGCGUGAAAGCGUGGGGAGCAAACAGGAUUAGAUACCCUCGUAGUC
rnacentral:rRNA from 1 species